GACGAACGCUGGCGGCGUGCUUAACACAUGCAAGUCGAACGGAAAGGCCCUGCUUUUGUGGGGUGCUCGAGUGGCGAACGGGUGAGUAACACGUGAGUAACCUGCCCUUGACUUUGGGAUAACUUCAGGAAACUGGGGCUAAUACCGGAUAGGAGCUCCUGCUGCAUGGUGGGGGUUGGAAAGUUUCGGCGGGUGGGGAUGGACUCGCGGCUUAUCAGCUUGUUGGUGGGGUAGUGGCUUACCAAGGCUUUGACGGGUAGCCGGCCUGGGAGGGUGACCGGGCACAUUGGGACUGAGGUACGGACCAGACUCGUACGGGAGGCAGCAGUGGGGAAUAUUGCACAAUGGGCGGAAGCCUGAUGCAGCAACGCCGCGUGCGGGAUGACGGCCUUCGGGUUGUAAACCGCUUUCGCCUGUGACGAAGCGUGAGUGACGGUAAUGGGUAAAGAAGCACCGGCUAACUACGUG
rnacentral:rRNA from 1 species